ACACUGAAACACCAGUUUCCAUAUGAUCACUGAAGUUAAGCAAUGUUGAGCUUGGUCAGAACCUAGAUAGGUGACCACUUAGGAAUACCAGGUGCUGUAAG
rnacentral:rRNA from 1 species